rnacentral:rRNA from 1 species
AUUGAACGCUGGCGGCAUGCCUUACACAUGCAAGUCGAACGGCAGCACGGGAGCAAUCCUGGUGGCGAGUGGCGAACGGGUGAGUAAUAUAUCGGAACGUGCCCAGUCGUGGGGGAUAACGUAGCGAAAGCUACGCUAAUACCGCAUACGAUCUACGGAUGAAAGCGGGGGAUCGCAAGACCUCGCGCGAUUGGAGCGGCCGAUAUCAGAUUAGCUAGUUGGUGGGGUAAAAGCUCACCAAGGCGACGAUCUGUAGCUGGUCUGAGAGGACGACCAGCCACACUGGAACUGAGACACGGUCCAGACUCCUACGGGAGGCAGCAGUGGGGAAUUUUGGACAAUGGGCGCAAGCCUGAUCCAGCAAUGCCGCGUGCAGGAUGAAGGCCUUCGGUUGUAACUAGCUUUGUACGGAACGAACGGUGAGCUCUAAUAAAGCUUGCUAAUGACGGUACCGUAAGAAUAAGCACCGGCUAACUACGUGCC